rnacentral:lncRNA from 1 species
CAUUGCUGUACAGCAGAAACCAACACAACAUUGGAAAGCAAUCAUACUCUAAAUUAAAAAAAAUUUUUAAUUAAAAAAUGUUAGAAGUCUUAGGUGUUAAAUAACAAACAAAGCUAGUUCAAGCUCCCAACAGCAGAACUAGGAAAUUCUGGUGACCGGAAAAGGCCUUCGGAGAGAGGGAAGCAGCAUGCUGUGUUCAAGGGCAGCUUCUCAUUUGAACUUGAGUGAGUUCGGUUUGUUUCCUCUCAGUCAGUUCCGGGCACUUGUUGUGUUUUGAUCAUCCCAGCAUGCAGGCCGAUUGGUUACAGUUCAAAGACUGGGCUGCUGCUGCCGCUGCUGCUGCGUCACUUCAGUUGUGUCCGGCUCUGUGCGACCCCACAGACAGCAGCCCACCAGGCUCCCUGUCCUUGGGAUUCUCCAGGCAAGAACACUGGAGUGGGUUGCCAUUUUCUUCUCCAGUGCAUGAAAGUGAAAAGUGAAAGGGAAGUCACUCGGCCAUGUCCGACUCUUAGCGACCCCUUGGACUGCAGCCCAUCAGGCUCCUCCGUCCAUGGGAUUUUCCAGGCGAGAGGACUGGAGUGGGGCGCCACUGCCCUCUGAGCAGCACAACAUAAUUAAGAGGCAACUGACUUCUGGGAAAAGAGAGCUGUGUGCCCCCCGGGAGUGAGUCUGAUGGGCAUCUAUCUUGAAGAAUGUGGACAUUAAACAGCAAGACGCUAAGGAAGGACGUGCCAUAGAGGAGGGCAGAGGGGGAUUUGAAGGAUCUGAUGAUACAGGACUCCUCGGUGAGCCAAGAACAGCGGUUAAGAAGAGAAAGCAGAGCAGCGCUGAUCAGAGCUGGAUUCCCGCAGCACUUCUGAGCGUGCUGUCAGGCAGAAGGGGCAGAUAUUUCAGAGAAGGAAACUGAGGAUACAGUGGACCAAUCACUGGCUGUUACAAGAGCCCAGGAGUUCAGCCGCAGGCUUGUCUUCUUCCCAAAAGGCUCGGACGCCGUGUCCUCAGAGCGACCUGUGCUAUCUGGGGCCUCGCACUGCUGCUCACAAAGACUUCACACCGAAAGGAAGUCUCCCUCACGCUUGUGUAGCCUUCACCGAGAAGAAGAAACGCAGGAUUGCUUUUUUAAUUCCCCAAAAGAACUGUUUUUCAAAACCGCCGUUGGAAAAUCGUCUCUGAGGGACGACAGCCAAGGGAGGAUUCCUGUUUGGCGAAGAAGCAGACAGGCGGGUCCCAAGCAGCCUUUGGGGACUUUCCCCCGCUUUUGCCUAAAUGUCAAGUGUCGGGCAUUCACACGGUUAAAAACGACCUAAAAUGAGCAACUUCCCCAAUGCUGGAUGACAAGUGUCAAGCCCUCUGCCCCUCCCAUCCCAGGGGCUGUUGUGAGUUCUCAUCUUUAUAGGAGAAAACGCGGAACUUGAGUGGGCUGGAGCCACAGGCUGGCAGCAGAGAUUGGGUCCUUGUCUCCUUGGACGGGCCCUGGAAUCCUUCUGGAACACACAGGAUAUGUAUGAACAUGAUGGAGCAGAACACAGUUCUCUCCUGCCGAAUCCCACUUCUUCCCACCAACAUGGCAGGAAGAAAAAUGACCUCAUGGUUAAGCCUGUAAACUUUGGAAUCAAACAAACCUGUGUGCAAUCUUUGCGUUUUUUUUUUUUUUUUUAACCUAACAGUUCUGUGGCUUCCACCAAAUUCUGUAACUUCUUUGUACUUUUGUUUAUUCAUGUGCAAAAUGGUGAUAAAGAUCACCACCACACUGGGUUCCUUUGAAGAUGAAAUAGGAUAAGAUGCAGAGAGUGGAUGUGCACAGCCCUGUGGACUGUAGAUUUUAUUCUCGGAUUACCUGUUUGCUUCUCACCCUACCUCGGGGCUGUCAUUCAUGGGAUGAAAUAAGAAAGGAUGGUUUGGGGAGAAAGAUACUCUUGGUAACCUGCAGACUUUCUUGUGAAAAGUGAAAUCUCCCAGUUCCAGGUUGGCAUCUGUUGUUGGUAACUAGGUUGGCGCCAGCCAAUGAACCAAUUUACUGAGCACUAUUACUUGCUGGGAUGGCUUCCCUGAUGGCGCAGGUGGUAAAGAAUCCUCCCGCAAUGUGGGAGGCCUGGGUUUGAUUCCCAGGCUGGGAAGAACUCCUGCAGGAGGGAAUGGCAACCCACUCCAGUAUUCUUGUCUGGAAAACUCCAUGGACAGAGUAGUCUGGAGGGCUAUAGUCCACAGGGUCACAAACAGUCGGACACGACUGAGUGACUAACACCUGCUAGGCAGUGUGCUUAAGCCCUCUUAUAGGUAUAUGACCAGUGUCCACAUAGAUUAUAUUAUCCCGUAUGUUUUAUUCAAAUAAGUCCUGAUAACAGCCACUUCUCAGCACCUCUUCAGCAACGACGCUAGUCUCAGCCACCAUCUUCUCCCAAGAAGUCACAGCAGGAGCCUUCUCCUUGGCCUCCCCUCAUGCAUUCUUUCCAUUUCCAGUGAACUUUGGAGUCAACCAGAACAGGAGAACUGCCAGUCUGGAGAGAGAGUCAUGUUACAUACGGGGGCCCAGGGACUGUGGAAUCAGGGACUGGAUCCUGCCUUGCUCAGUUAGUUGCUAACAUACCUUCAGGCACAAGGUAGCCACUGACAAAGGUGCUUUCCAUGCCCCUGGUUGCGGGCUCCGAGGACGCCAGCCUCGCCGUCACCCAUCACCCGUCACCCGUCGCGGCUGAGACGAGCAGGCGUCGAGUGCAGCUGGCUGUCUCUGGUCGCCAGGGAAGUGCCUUCACUUAAGCAGACUGCUGGCAUUGCUUCCUCCUGUCUGCUCCACCAGCACAAUGAGAGGGAGACUUACCCACCCAGCACAGCCUAAGAUUUGAGAGGGCUUCUGCUCCAGGAAACACAGUACAUAGCCGAGAAUCUCUCUCUGCAGCCUUUUAAAGCCAGCCUUUGGAUUAACCAGACGUGUGAUGAGCAUUUUUUAAAAAACAUAUGUCUACUAAAAGUGAAAGUACUGUUGUUUUUGUUUAUAAAUACAUCAAAACACUCAGAUCCUUUAUUGAUCUGUGCUGAGGGAGUUGUGGGUUUUCAUACAAUGUUUUCUGAAAGAGUGAAAAGCGAAUACCUCAAAACGAAAAUAGGAUCACACAUGGUUUUAUCAUCUUGUGCAGUUCAUUUUAUUACAACCUGAUCUUAUGGAAGGAAUCCCAUUUUGGUUUAAUCUUUUGGGGCUCCCUGCUCAGCUAACUUGAAGGUUUAGCUUGGGAUGUUUAAUUCCAUAGUCUGUGAUUAUUUUAGGAAAUUUACUAAAAAGCCAAAACACAAUCUAUAGAGUGAUCCACUGUGGUGGAGUUCAAAGCAGAGUGCUCUAGCAAUUCACACACGACGGAACAGCAAAGGGGGAUGGCGUAGCCAAGCUGGCACCUGACACGAGAGGCCCUAGCCCCUACUAUGUUUCCUGGGGCCAGAGAUUGUGGCCGUGCAUCCUGUGAGAAAGCAGAAGCGGGAUGUACACGCGAUAAUUGUAACACCACAGCACACCAUGUCACUUAAGUGUACAAAGCACGGGCUUCUAGUGUUAGAGAAGCUGCCUGCCAAAGCAGGAGACAUGAAAGAGGUGAGUUCAGUCCCUGGCUUGGGAAGACCCCCUGGAGAAGGGAAUGACGACCCACUCCAGUGUUCUUGCCUGGAGAAUCCCAGGGACAGAGGAGCCUGCUGGGCUACAGUCCACAGGGUUACAAAGAUUGGACACAACUGAAGUGACUUGGCCACGUGAACAAAGCAUAGUACAAAAUAGUUUGCAUUGAACUGGAUAGUCAGGCAGUCAAUAUGUAUUUUAUUAAUCACCUGCUGUUUGCAAGGUACUUUCAUAACUAUGAAAUAAUCUAUAUAAAAAAAAUCUGAAGGGAGUAUGUAAAAAUGAGGCUGAGUCAGGAAGAUGGGAUUAUCAUGUGUUCUUUGUCUUUAUUCUCCCCUAAUAUUGAAACAUAUAUGCUUUCAAACGGGACCUUAUUAAACUUAGAAGUUUUGCACAGCAAGGGAAGCCAUCAACAAAACAAAAAGACAACCUACUGAAUGGGAAAAAAAAUAAUUGCAAAUGAUAUG